rnacentral:rRNA from 1 species
AGUCGAACAGCAGCACGGACUUCAGUCUGGUGGUGACGAACGGGUAGGCAAUGUAUCGGAACGUGCUAGUAGCGGGGAUAACUACGCGAAAGCGUAGCUAAUACCGCAUACGCCCUUCGGGGGAAAGCGGGGGACCUUCGGGCCUCGCACUAUUAGAGCGGCCGAUAUCGGAUUAGCUAGUUGGUGGGGUAACGGCUCACCAAGGCGACGAUCCGUAGCUGGUUUGAAGGGGACGACCAGCCACACUGGGACUGAGACACGGCCCAGACUCCUACGGGAGGCAGCAGUGGGAAUUUUGGACAAUAGGGAAACCCUGAUCCAGCCAGCCCGCGUGUGAUGAAGGCCUUCGGGUUGUAAAGGCAUUUUGGCAGGAAAGAAACGGCGGGAUAAUACCCCGUGCAACUGACAGUACCACCAGAAUAAGCACCGGCUAACUACGUGCCAGCAGCCGCGGUAAUACGUAGGGUGCGACGUUAAUCAGGAAUUACUGGGCGUAAAGCGUGCAGGCGGUUUUCGGAAAGAAGAUGUGAAAUCCCAGAGCUUAACUGGAACAUUUUUUAACUACCGAGCUAGAGUGUGUCAGGGAGGUGGGAAUUCCGCGUGUAGCAGUGAGAGAUGCGUACAGAUAUGCGGAGGAACACCGAUGGCGAAGGCAGCCUCCUGGGAUAACACUGACGCUCAUGCACAGCGUGGGGAGCAAACGGGAGUUAGAUACCCUGGUAGUCCACGCCUAAACGAUGUCAACUAGCUGUUGGGCCUUCAGCCUUAGUAGCGCAACUAACGCGUGAAGUUGACCGCCUGGGAGAUACGAUCACGAUUAAACAUCAAAGGGAUUGACGGGGACCCGCACAAGCGGUGGAUGAUGUGGAUUAAUUCGGUGCAACGCGAAAAACCUUGCCUACGCUUGACAUGUCUGGAAUCCCGAAGAUUUGGGAGUGCUCGCAAAGAGAACCGGAACACAGGUGCUGCAUGGCUGUCGUCAGCUCGGUGAUGGGUGAUCGACAGUUGGGGUCCCUGGCGGGCGCAGCCACUAUCGAUGCGCUGCGAAGGGCACUCUAAUAAGACUGCCGGUAAUAAACGGAGGAAGGUGGAAUGAUCAAGUCAUCCACCAUGUAUAUGGUAGGGCUACGUCAUACAAUGUGAUUAAAGGGACCGAAAGUAUCUGUACGAAGAUAUCAACUCGUCUUAGUCCCGGAUCGCGUGCUGCUCGGCUGCGUGAGUGGAUUAGCUCGUGUCGCGGAUCAACAUAUUCGGCGGUGAAUACGUUCUUGGUGCCUUACACGCACCGCCCGUCAUGUGCGUGGGUUAAGGUUUUACUUCAAAGUGGUUAGCAGCCUAACCGCUAAGGAGGGCGAUUACCACGGUAGGAUUCAUGAUGAGAUUGAAGUCGUAACAAGGUAGCCCUGUUCGCUGCCCUUUAUAGUCAUACGGUGAUGGCAUUGGCG